rnacentral:lncRNA from 1 species
CGCAGCAACGCCGCGGCGUCGGGGGCGGGGCCGCUCCCUGCCCUGUUCUGGCCCGCCCACUAGGCGCUGCUGAGCCAAUCGAGUGCCUGAGCGUUGGUCAAAGCAGCCAAUGGGAGAGGCGGGGGCGAUUUAAGAGCUGGCAGCGGGAGGGCGGUGCCUUAGGGCUCGUGCCGUUGCUGGAGGUGAGGCGGGACCGUGGCGGGACCGUGGCGGGACCGUGGCGGGACCGUGGCGGAGAGAGUGGUCUCACCAGCCUGAAGAUGACAACUCUCAUCUUCUUAGAUAAGGAGAAUGGUGAAGUUGGUGCUGCUAAGAAUCAAUUAAGACACCCUUCAGGAUCAUCAAAAGUCUUAUCUGAAAGAACUCAAGUCACUACACCGCUUCCUAAAAAAGCAAUUAAAGCAUCUCCAGCCACAUCACACUCUGUCAGAAAGGCUCUUGGAGACGUGAAUAGGACUGUAGGAGUCACAAACAAGAAAGAAGCAGAUGAGACAGGAAAAUCAGCCUUGCACUGCAAAGAAAGUUACUGAAAAGGCUGCUGGAUUAGAGAGCCAGGAUGUGAUACUUGAAGAACCCUUCCUUGAAAUAGAAAACAUGUUUUGCUAUGAUCCUGGAGACUUUGAGAAUUUUGAUCUUCCUGAAGAGGACAGAGUAAGCGAUAUCGACCUGUGUGGUGCUCCUCUCAAGAUAUUUACAAGCACUGCUGAAAAACCACUGAACAUGUGUCUUUCACCUGUGAAGACUGAAGAGCUGUCAUGGGAGUCUAGUAAGUGGAAAACUAGUACGAGUUUCAGUGCAUACAGUGCUCAUUAGUGGUCUGGGAGGAAAGGCUGCAAGAGUGAACUGUCAUUGCUGUCAUAAGCACCAGAAUAGCACACUUAUAUCAAGCAACUCUUGGUAUACAGCCAAGCUGAAUGUAACUGGUCAACUCCACUAACAGUGGUCUCAAAGCCAUAUUGCUGUGUAGCUUUCUGCAGUGUAUUGCUAAAUGACUAGUUAGGAUGAAUUGUCCAACAGUAUUUCCCAUAGUCAUUCAAGUGGUUUAUGCGAACUCACUAGGAGCUAGCUUAUAUGAGACUAAAAUUCUGGGCUUCGUGAGAAACUGAUUUGCUGUAUUUCUAACUUUCAGACUUUCUACAAUCAACUGCUGACUUCAUUUCUACACUGGAUGAGAUCAUUGAUAUGCAUCUAUGAAACUAUGAGCUUCAAAAGCAUAUUCCAAAGUUUCUGUUGAGUGCUAUACUUUAAUUAAACUUUUAAUAAAGGUUGGUUUAAUGUGUGUAAUAUGGGACUUCUCUAUUUUCUGUAGAGCUAAUAUACCAAGGGCAUAAGAUGCAGGUAGUAAAAUACUGCUUUGAAAACAAGGCUAUUUGACAAGAU